UUGCGCUCGCCUGGAGAGGGUCCCCUCUAGCGGCCACAGGAAGGACGCUGGAACGGAACUCCGCUCCCUCCUCGGGCUGUAUCUGGAAAGCUCCGGUGACUUGCUCACUCCACCUGCCCUACAGAUUCCAGGCCCAUGACAUCCUGUCAUGAACAGUUAUACAAGCAAGUGCACCAGUGAGGCACAUCUGCACAGUGCUCCAUUCACACCUGGGCUGUACCUUCUCUCAUCCUGGCUUCACAGGUGCUUAGAAGAACACACAGUCAAGUUUUUCACCAAACACAUGGAAUAUAUCACAGAACUUUGCUAAGAUGGACAACUCCAUGCAAAAAGACCAACACUCUGGCAAAAAAUAUUCCAGAAAGGCUGACAGAGUACAGAAAGGUCUAGUGAAUUUUAUAACAGAGGUCUUUGGGGACGUGAGCUCCUGACAUAUGUUCAUUUUAGUUUUACUGCUGCGUAUCCAACACAAUCCUCCAUUCCUUUUAAAUAUCAGCCUUCCAGAAUUCCAGAACCAGAAAAAAAAGGAUUUAAUAGUCAAGCCAAGAGGUUUUACCAUAAAAAGGAUGAUAUCCCAGGUCCUGGGUUCUACAACGUCAUUCACCAGUCUCCUGUGUUUGACAGUGUGUCGUUGUCUAAGAAAGGGACGUGUACGUUUCCC